rnacentral:rRNA from 1 species
AUUGAACGCUGGCGGCAGGCCUAACACAUGCAAGUCGAGCGGAUGAAGGGAGCUUGCUCCUGGAUUCAGCGGCGGACGGGUGUGUAAUGCCUAGGAAUCUGCCUGGCAGUGGGGGAUAACGUCCGGAAACGGGCGCUAAUACCGCAUACGUCCUGAGGGAGAAAGUGGGGGAUCUUCGGACCUCACGCUAUCAGAUGAGCCUAGGUCGGAUUAGCUAGUUGGUGGGGUAAAGGCCUACCAAGGCGACGAUCCGUAACUGGUCUGAGAGGAUGAUCAGUCACCCUGGAACUGAGACACGGUCCAGACUCCUACGGGAGGCAGCAGUGGGGAAUAUUGGACAAUGGGCGAAAGCCUGAUCCAACCAUGCCGCGUGUGUGAAGAAGGUCUUCGGAUUGUAAAGCACUUGGAGGUGGGAGAAAGGGCAGUAAGUUAAUACCUUGCUGUAUUGACGUUACCAACAGAAUAAGCACCGGCUAACUUCGUG